CCCUUAGAUGUUCUGGGCCGCACGCGUGCUACACUGAGUGGAUCAGCGGGUCAGGUUGCGCGAAAGUGUUUCCUAAUCUUGAAAUCCGCUCGUGAUGGGGAUUGACGGUUGCAAUUUUCCGUCAUGAACGAGGAAUACCUUGUAAGCGCGGGUCAUCAUCCCGCGCUGAAUACGUCCCUGCCCUUUGUACACACCGCCCGUCGCUACUACCGAUUGAAUGGCUUAGUGAGGCCUCCGGAUUGGCUUCGGGGAGCCGGCAACGGCACCUCGUGGCUGAGAAGUUGGUCAAACUUGGUCAUUUAGAGGAAGUAAAAGUCGUAACA
rnacentral:rRNA from 1 species